AACGAACGCUGGCGGCAUGCCUAACACAUGCAAGUCGAACGGGAUCCUAGCUUGCUAGGUGAGAGUGGCGGACGGGUGAGUAACACGUGGGAAUCUGCCUUUUUGGUUCGGGAUAACCGCGGGAAACUGCGGCUAAUACCGAAUGCCCUCGAGAGAGGAAAGAUUUAUCGCCAGAAGAGGAGCCCGCGUCCGAUUAGGUAGUUGGUGGGGUAAAGCCUACCAAGCCGACGAUCGGUAGCUGGUCUGAGAGGAUGAUCAGCCACACUGGACUGAGAUACGGCCCAGACUCCUACGGGAGGCAGCAGUGGGGAAUAUUGGACAAUGGGGGCAACCCCGUGAUCCAGCAAUGCCGCGUGAGUGAU
rnacentral:rRNA from 1 species